rnacentral:rRNA from 1 species
AUAAUACCAACGGCGUAAAACACGACUAAAUACCCAGUCCAACCAUUAAGAAAGAAACUAAACUGGGCUGUAAAAAGCCAUAAGUUACAAUAACCACCCCUUAACACAACACCACACCCACUCGUGAAAGCUGGGACACAAACUAAGAUUAGAUACCUUACUAUGCCCAACCAUAACACAACAAUUAAACCACCAAUUGUUCGCCAAAUAACUACGAGUAAAAACUUAAAACUUAAAAGACUUGACGGUAUCUCACAACAAUCUAGAGGAGCCUGUCCAAUAACCGAUACCCCGCGAUUAACCCGACCCCCCCUAGCCUAACAGUCUAUAUACCGCCGUCGCCAGCCUACCUUAUGAAAGAAACAAAGUGAGCAAAAUAGUCAUUACUAACACGACAGGUCGAGGUGUAACUAAUGGGGGGGAUAAGAUGGGCUACAUUUUCUAACACAGAAAAUACGAACAAACUAUGAAAUAAGAAACUGAAGGCGGAUUUAGCAGUACACUAAGAACAAAACACUUAAUCGAAACCAACGCAAUGAGAUGCGUACACACCGCCCGUCAUCCCUGUUAACCAACAAAAACAUACAUAAA